rnacentral:tRNA from 5 species
GCGGGGUGGAGCAGCCUGGUAGCUCGUCGGGCUCAUAACCCGAAGGUCGUCGGUUCAAAUCCGGCCCCCCGCA